CGGAUUGCGCAAAAUAGCGCACUUGAUUGAGCGAAUGAAUCGUAAAAAACCAUCUAAGUUUUUAAAAUCCCCAGAGACUACACGCUAGAAUCCUAAAAAAUUGGAUAAGAUAUAGUCCGAACUCUAUGGCGACAUAGAG
rnacentral:autocatalytically_spliced_intron from 1 species